AUAUCAAUAUAUAAAAAAUCCGCCUCUUUCAUUUACAGCAAAAUGGUUCGAAUCCUAAACAGAAAAAGAAAGGGUUUGAAAUAA
rnacentral:tRNA from 1 species